GUGAAGAAUUGUACGCUGGGAAAUGGACGUUCACACAGCAGAGGCAAGAGAAAAGGGAAAAGAGAAACAACGGUAUGAGGAGUAAAUGGCGUAAAGUGGGUAGGUGAGUGGGCCUAUGUAGAGAGACCUUUGCCAGCUACGCUGCCCACUCAUUCUCACGCGCACUCUCCUUAUACUUUUUGCUCUGUCUGCGACUGUUGCUCUUACUUCUUUCUGCUCUAUCUGCCUGCAAUUAAUUGCCGCCUCAUUCAUUAUGCACUGCAGUCGCUCGACUAAUGCUUCUACGCCAGAGACAUGCUUUUUCCUCUUGCAUUACACUUCUCCCACACGUCUUGAGUUCGAGUCUUUCCUGACCCCGUGCUAGGGUUUUCAAGAGAGGCAGGCAGGCAGGGAGGCGUUUCUCAAAGGGGAGCCCGGCAUGAAACGGAUGCGCUGCUCGUGCAAGCUGAUCACUUUUCUUCUGCUUUGCUACUGGUUUGUAAAUGCAUUCCAGGCUUUGUCAUUACCAAAAUUUGGUGCAAGUCAGACGUCAGAUCUUACUGUAGUUGUACAUGAGCCCAUUGUUUCAUUUCCUUGGAAUUCUUCAUUGUUUCAUUUGACUUCUUCACGACCUCAUGCCGAGGAAAAGGAAAGUAAUAUUUUCUCUGUAGAAGUUUCUCCUAGUGCUGCACCUGACCCAUUGAUUCCAUUACUCGCUCCGUCUCCUUUGAAUCCUUUCACUCCAAAUUCAACUGCACCUGUUGUUUCAGGGCUUUGUGCUUUCAAUUUUUCAGCUGCAGAUUAUGUGAUCAGUCAAACAGCAAUUGACUGUUGGGGUUCAUUUGCUCAAUAUCUGGGAAAUGUCAUUUGCUGUCCCCAGUACGAGGCUUUGCUUCACAUCCUUGUUGGAGAAUCCAGCAAAUCGAAUGGGUUACUUGCCUUGAAUUCAACAUUUGCAGAAUACUGUUUUUCAGAUGUCCAAACUAUCUUGAGUAGCCAGGGUGCAAAUGCAAGUCUUCCAUCGAUAUGCUCUGCACUGCCAUCUAAUCUAACUGAAGGAUCCUGUCCAGUUAAGGGUGUGAAGGAGUUUGAACAAACAGUCAAUGGGAGCAAACUUUUGAUUGAUUGCAAAACAGUUGAUCCAGUGAAAGAAUGCUGCAGCCCCGUUUGCCAGCCUGCAAUCUCAGAAGCUGCAAGAAGACUUGCUUUGAAGGCACCUGGAUUAUUUAGUGAAGAUGAUGUGCGAAUGUCACCUCUGCAACAAACUGUAGUUGAUGAUUGUCAUAGGGUUGUCCUCAGAUGGUUAUCAAGUAAGCUUACCCCAGAGAGGGCAAAAUCAGUUCUCCGAGGGCUUUCCAAUUGCAAUGUGAACAGAGUCUGUCCUCUAGAUUUCCCUGAUCCUUCAGAGGUGGCAAGAGACUGCUCUCAGGCCCUAAAAAAUGAAUCAAAAUGUUGUACGACACUGGACAGUUAUAUCUCUGGAGUUCAACAGCAAAGUCUCAUCACAAAUCUGCAAGCUUUGGACUGUGCCACCUCUCUUGGUGUUAUGCUUCAGAGAAAGAAUAUUACAGAUAACAUUUACAUUCUUUGCCGUGUAAACCUGAAGGACUUCUCUCUUCAAGCAUUCGGAUCACAAGAUGCAGGCUGUCUUCUUCGAAGUUUGCCUUCAGAUGCUAUGAUCGACAAGUCUUCUGGAGUAAGUUUCACAUGUGACCUGAAUGAUAAUAUUGCUGCUCCUUGGCCUCAUUUUUCUCAUUCGUCAACACCUUCGUCUUGCAAUAAAGCAAUUAACAUGCCAGCUUUUCCAGCUGCAACAUCAGCCUGUAAUGGGCAGAAGGGAGUAUCGGUGGUGAUGUUUCUCUUUUCGGUUCUCUCUGUAGUAAUGUUGAUCCCUUAGAUUCGAGUUAACGUGAGACAGUUAAUGCAAUUAGAUCCUGUUCUCGCUUUGUGAUCUUGCUGAGUGUAUUACCCAGUUCGGCCUUUACAGUUAUGCAUACUGAUGAGCAUUCCAGAAAACUUCAAAAAGUUGAAUGCUUAGUACCUGUUAUUGCAUCGCAUGUAUAUGUAAUCUUUAGGCACCUUCAGGGGUGUCCUCUGUAAAAUGUAAAUGUAGCUGAUUGUAGAUGUAUUCUACCAUGUUAUUUCUAUCUGUUUAAUAAUCCUUGGAUGCACUGUUGCAGGUUUUUUGGCCGCACGGAGACAUUUUUAUGUUUUAUUCAUAUAUCAUGAGAUAUUAACAAGCAUUUUAUAUGCAAUAGAGCUCCUGAAAAUCCCUAGGUGUGAUCAGAAACUGAAUUCAUGAUAUGGAUUCUUGGGUGGUGCUGUGGUGGAUGUUCAAUUUGACUUGAGUUCUUGUCAAAUCCUUUUUGAGACUGUGUAACUGGUGCUCAUUAAGCUCAUAGUUCACUCUUAGCAAGGCAGAUUAAUAUCAUUUCUGGCAGCUUUUUAAACA